GUGUUGCCUUUGCAGGGACCAGAGCAGGAAUGCAGCCCCCUCCCACAGCUUUUACAGGAGCGGCUGAGCUGAGCCUUUACAGUCUUAUCUCCCACAGUUAAUAUGGAUGACUCAUCUCUAAUCAGCUAGACAUUUGUCAAUGGAGACGUCUGAAAUUAAGAAGAAAAGCCUGAUGUACUAUUUGCUGAAAAGAAUCACCCAGCUGUAAUUUUGAUUAAUCAAGCCCCAGGCUCCAGCUCCUGGAUUCAGGUGAAGAUGUGAGAAUCUCAGCUUUCAUAUAAAAAAGAAGGACGUUUCUAAGCCUCAAGGCACCAGAGGGAAGCUUGAAAUUGUGACCCAAAUGUUCCCUAAAGCUUCAUAAACCAGAGGAGAAAUCAAA